rnacentral:rRNA from 1 species
ACCCGCUGAACUUAAGCAUAUCAAUAAGCGGAGGAAAAGAAACCAACAGGGAUUGCCUCAGUAACGGCGAGUGAAGCGGCAAGAGCUCAAAUUUUAAAUCUGCCUUUUAGGCCGAGUUGUAAUUUGUAGAGGAACGUUCGGUGACGUCUAGGUCCGAGUCUUCUGGAAGGAAGCGCCGAUGAGGGUGAGAGCCCCGUACGACCGACGACUUAGCCAUGUGAACGUCCUUCGAAGAGUCGAGUUGUUUGGGAAUGCAGCUCAAAGCGGGUGGUAAAUUCCAUCUAAAGCUAAAUAUUGGCCAGAGACCGAUAGCGCACAAGUAGAGUGAUCGAAAGAUGAAAAGCACUUUGGAAAGAGAGUGAAAAAGUACGUGAAAUUGUUGAAAGGGAAGCGCUCGCGACCAGACUUGAUCGUUCAGUUCAAGGGUUCUUCUGGACCCGGUACUUCUGUCUGAUCAGGCCAACAUCAGUUCGGACGGUUGGAUAAAAGCUUUGGGAACGUGGCUCCUCGGAGUGUUAUAGCCCUUUGCACAAUACAGCCAGACCGGACUGAGGAAUGCCUUUUGUAGGAUGUUGGCGUAAUGGUUGCCAGCGGCCCGUCUUGAAACACGG